CGGUGAGGUGACUUGUCUGGUUAAUUCCGAUAACGGACGAGACCUCGACCUGCUAACUAGAUGCUAUCGAAUUUCGGUAGUGAUCUUCUUAGAGGGACUUUGGGAGUCUAUCUCAAGGAGGUUCGAGCCUAUAACA
rnacentral:rRNA from 1 species